CCUACGGGAGGCUGCAGUGAGGAAUAUUGGUCAAUGGACGAGAGUCUGAACCAGCCAAGUAGCGUGAAGGAUGACUGCCCUAUGGGUUGUAAACUUCUUUUAUAUGGGAAUAAAAUGUUCAACGUGGGGGAUUUUGUAUGUACCAUAUGAAUAAGGAUCGGCUAACUCCGUGCCAGCAGCCGCGGUAAUACGGAGGAUCCGGGCGUUAUCCGGAUUUAUUGGGUUUAAAGGGAGCGUAGGUGGAUUGUUAAGUAAGUUGUGAAAGUUUGCGGCUCAACCGUAAAAUUGCAGUUGAAACUGGCAGUCUUGAGUACAGUAGAGGUGGGCGGAAUUCGUGGUGUAGCGGUGAAAUGCUUAGAUAUCACGAAGAACUCCGAUUGCGAAGGCAGUUCACUGGACUGCAACUGACACUGAGGCUCGAAAGUGUGGGUAUCAAACAGGAUUAGAUACCCUGGUAGUC
rnacentral:rRNA from 1 species